CUGGGUGCCGCUCACCUUCCCGCUGCGCGCCUCUCCCCUCCUCCCGUCCCCGCCCCCUCGGCUGCUGGGCUGCCUGGCGUGACUCGGCACUGAGAGCCCCGGAGGAGACGCGCCCGUAGCCAGGUCCUCUGUCCAGGCCUCGGCCUUCCUCAGCCUUUCCCCUUCCUCGCCCCGGCUUUCUUCUUCACUUCGGAACCUGUGGUCGUCGCGGCCUCCUAGGCGGGCUCUGUGUCAGGAUGGUUGGUGUGAAGCCGGUCGGGAGCGACCCGGAUUUCCAGCCGGAGCUGAGCGGCGCAGGCUCCAGACUCGCCGUGGUCAAGUUCACCAUGCGAGGGUGUGGACCAUGUUUGAGGAUUGCUCCAGCCUUCAGUUCUAUGAGUAAUAAAUAUCCACAGGCUGUUUUCUUGGAGGUAGAUGUACAUCAGUGUCAGGGAACAGCUGCCACCAACAAUAUAUCAGCAACACCUACAUUUUUGUUUUUUCGAAAUAAAGUGAGAAUUGAUCAGUAUCAAGGAGCAGAUGCUGUGGGACUAGAAGAAAAAAUCAAGCAGCACUUAGAAAAUGACCCUGGAAGUAAUGAGGAUACAGACAUUCCAAAAGGCUAUAUGGAUUUAAUGCCUUUUAUUAACAAGGCUGGUUGUGAAUGUCUUAAUGAAAGUGAUGAGCAUGGGUUUGACAACUGUUUAAGGAAAGAUCCGAGCUUCUUGGAAUCUGACUGUGAUGAACAGCUACUUAUUACUGUGGCAUUCAAUCAACCUGUUAAGCUUUAUUCCAUGAAAUUUCAAGGACCAGAUAAUGGUCAGGGUCCCAAAUAUGUAAAGAUUUUUAUCAACCUACCCCGAUCUAUGGAUUUUGAAGAAGCAGAAAGAAGUGAGCCAACUCAAGCUCUAGAGCUGACAGAGGAUGAUAUUAAAGAGGAUGGCAUUGUUCCACUUCGUUAUGUUAAGUUUCAGAAUGUGAACAGUGUAACCAUAUUUGUUCAGUCUAAUCAAGGUGAAGAAGAAACAACAAGAAUUUCAUAUUUUACUUUUAUUGGUACUCCUGUCCAGGCAACAAAUAUGAAUGACUUCAAACGACUUUUUUAAUCCAACUCAAAUGAACUAAAACCAGAAGAUUUUUUUUUAAUGAAGUAAUAAAAAGAUUGACCUUGUCUCACAAUACUCCCCUCCUUGCUUCUCUGCUCAUCUAGCACCUGUCUGUUCUCACCCUUUCCGUGUUCUCUCCAUUGUCACUGCAAGAUCUCUACAGCUUCCAUCGUUGGAUCAGCCUUUUUACCUAGAUUGCCUCAACUAUCUCCUUCACAUCUCAUCUUAGCCAUGUUUCUCAGUUGGCCUCUUUAUUUUCUUUUGGGCUUGCAGCUAGGUGCUUUUAUUUUCAUUACUGUACUGCUACUCACCAGACUUUUACUUUCUACUGUUUCAUAUUUACUUUGGUUCUGAAUUUUGAGGAGUAAUACUGAACUAAAACUUAAAUUGUUAUAAUGCUUUCAGAUUUAAUUAGAUGAUGUUUUAAUCCAUUCUAAAUUUUUUUUUUUUUUUUUUUUUGACCUAUAGAAUCAUUUUGGAAAUAGGUUUUAUUCUAGAGCUAGUAUACAUUAAUUAUGUUUUACUUGAGGGGUGUGGGUUUUCUUUUUCUCUUUGAACUGUUAGCCCCAAAGUCUUUGAUGAUUGAUGUGGUUAUAUCCUCUGCUUUUGCCUAAAAGCUCAAGGCCAGUUGAAGGACUUAUGGACUGAAUGAUAGGCUGAGUCAGAAUAUUAACAUAGAAGAUCAAUGGACUCUGCUGAAUAAAUACCUUUAACACCUAAUUUUGAUGUACAUAAACUUUGGUUUGAGGUGUAAUAUAAAGCUUAAGAAAGAAUGAAAGAGCUUUACAUUUGGGGUAGUUGGCAAGAAAGGAGAAAGCCAUUAAGGUUCAGACAACACUGGAAGACCUCUUGCAAUCAGAUUUGCAGCUCCUGGAUAAUUGCUUGAUUCUCUCCAGAGACUGUCAAUAUUGCAUUCAUUGCCAUCACCAAUAAAUCAUUGCUUUUGUUCA